UGAGGGAAGCCCCAUUUCAUCCUCCCCUAAGGGGGAUGUCUCGACCCAAGAGUCUUGACAUUCCACCCAGCACAAACAUUCUGUGACUCAUAAGUGGUCCAACUGUCCAUUGACUCCACCCAGGUGGGGCUGACGAAUGGGGGAGACCGGUGAACUUGAAGCCAGUGAUGGACUCUGCUAGCAAGGGCAGAGAAUCAGUCACAGACACACCUGCCACACAGCUUGAGCCUACGACCGCCAUCUCCAAGGCUUGCUGAGCCUUUGCCAAAUCUACACAUCAGAUGACAACUUGAUUCUCACACUUGGAUCCCUGUGAGCUAGUUGGCACCGGAUGUCUGAGCCACAGUCCCUAAAUCAGCCCCUCACCAUUGACGGAAGGAAUCUGUGCUCUAUUAAAAGCAUUCUUCAAACAGCAGAGAAUGCUAAAUGUGUUUAAAAUGUAAAAACCAACCAGAAAAUGCAUUUUAUUCUCCUGAAAGUUGUAAUCUUUGCAUAUCUCCAUGGUAUUGAGCACCAGCUGGGAACAGAAGUCCUAAAAUACCCAAGCAAGGCCAUCUCUGCAGAAGGAAAGACUCUCAACAGAGCCAACAAGACUCUCUCUCCUCCGAUUUAUGCAUCCCCAAAACACUUUGAAGUGGAUUGGUUAAGAUCUUGUUUUCUCCCUAGUGCUCCUGUCUCUCAGUUCUCUCCUUUAUACUCCAUGGUACAUGUGAUUUCCAGAAAAAAAUCUCAAAUACGUUGGUGGCUUGGAACUCGUCUCACUCUGCUCAAGAACCACUGGCUGUUUGGACUUCUGGGUCCACACUGAGGCUGUUCCCUCUGCCUGUAUUGCCAUUCCUCAACAUAACGUGGUUGAUGCUGAUUUAGGCUCUGAGCUCAGUACAGGCAUGGUCCUAAUUCAAGAACCCCGAUGGCCCCCUCCUGCUCCUUGAGCACUGCCAGGGGGUCGGAGCCACUAUGCUGCCUCUCAUAACAUGCUCCUUCAGGCUAGGCCAUGGCUCUUCCUUGGCAUGAAGGAGUUAGCUCAUAAGAGGUGGUGAAGUCAGCAGUGGCCAGUGAAGCAUUGAUGGCAGGACUGUGCCCGCUGACUGCCGAAUUCAGCUACACCUGGUCAUCCAACAAUCUCUGACUGCAAGCACAUCAUUUGUUGCUUGCCACGCAGGCCCUCUCUGGCCUGGCACUGCCGCUCACUCCGACGCCCUGACCUACACUCCCAAGACUCUCUUCCCCACCCCCGAUGGACUACUUUGCCCUCUUGGAAAACCUUCCCUGCUACCUCUAAGGGCUGCUGAUUCAUGUCUACCACCUAAUCUGAGUUGGCCUUAAAUCUCAACCUUUAGGAGGCUGUUAUGACUCAGUCUUAGCUCACCAAUGUUGCCGUCCUAUAGAUUGUACUAAAAUGAGCAGCUGCAGCAGCCGUCAAGGACAGCUCAGAAAACUCUGAUCUCCAUUUUAUGAGGCCAUCAAAAGGACAGCAGUCGGAGCAAUCUUUUCAUAGUGGAUUUCCAGGGAAGUUGUCAACUCUCAUUUAGGUGCAUUAUGUAUCUCUACCACAUGUCUGCACUUCCUUCCUUCCUUUAUUAAUAGAGAAAGUGGAAAACAGUACUUAACUUCUUAGGGGUUAAUCAGUUCCUGCUGCGUAUUUCUCCACAUGAAGGCAUAACUUCCAUUUACAACAUCAUUAUUGAUUACGUGAAAUGAUUUCAGGCUGAACUUAAGUCCCUGAGGUGUACAGAAUUGUGGUGAGUAUUCAAAACCUGGAGGGAGGAACCGAGGAUUAUUGCCGCACAGCUCUCCGUCAUCCCGAGCUUCCUCUUGAUUGCUGAGGGGAUGAGCUGUCUGUUGGCUGUUGAAAGUGUGCAAAUAUUUUCUCCAACUUCCCAUGGCUUGCUUCUCCAGAUUACCAUUAAAGGUUUUGAGCAGCAGAUUCCUGCAUAGGAAUAAGUGGUGGAGACUGUAGUGAUUCCUUGGGCAGGGAGCAUUAGAAAUUUAAAGGAUGCCAAAUGGUAUUUUGGACCAAGGUAAUAGGUUCAGCGCUGUUGAAAGUAGAUCUACUACAGGCAUCUAAGGUAGCUGUCAAUGUUCUGUGGAAGGUAUAGUCAAGGAAGACAGCAGUGUCCUGCAAACUCCCUGGGCCACUGUCACAUUGCAGAACUCUGGUCUGGGUGAACAAAGACCAAACCGAAUCUAAUGGACUUUAGGGGCUUAUCAGGACAAUAAACAAGUGAAGUUAAUUGAAAUCUUGUAACUAACAAACACCUAAGUUAACUCUUUGUGGAAGUGAAAAAAUUUCCAGGAUCAGGGAAAACUCUUUGGAGUGAAGAUGCUCUUAGGAAAAAAAGAAAAAGAGGAUAAACGUGACUAAAUCUCAUGUCAGAUUGAUCUAAUUAGUCACCUAAAUUCAUGAAAAAAAUCAUCCUUGUGUUCAAGGAAAUAAACGAGGAUUUUGAGUUUCCCAAUUCUUGGCUAUGUUACCCCAAUUAUAUGUUUCACUCACCUACUGAGUUCAGAUCCAGUUCAAAAGACAUAUAUUAAGUCCCUGCUAAAUUCCUUGUUUGCUAACACAGCAACUAUCAGGAUAUUUCACUUAUAAUUUUCCCUCAGAAAAGAGUGUUUCUAAAUACUAGAAUCCUUACAAAGGCUCUCAUGUAGCAGCUUAUCAUGACACUUUAUUUUGAACAAUAUAUUGCUGCAACUAUGCUGGUUUUGAACAAGCAGACAUUUGAUGGAAUUAGAGAGAGAGAAAGACAGAGAGAGAAAUUUAACACAGAUUUAGUAAAUUUCUAGGCUAUGCCAUUGUGUUUUUUGGUGUUGGACAUGUUAGAUGUCAUUUUAAAUAUGCCUUCAAAAGCAUACUUUAAAUAAAACAAUAGUGAGAUAAUCCUGGAGAUU